rnacentral:misc_RNA from 1 species
UUCUGACUGGCGCCGAUACUCUGGCAACAGAGCGCCGGAUGCCGGAAAGUUGGUCAAACUUGAUCAUUUAGAGGAAGUAAAAGUCGUAACAAGGUUUCCGUAGGUGAACCUGCGGAAGGAUCAUUACCGAUGUAGUAUCAUCCAUGACCACACACCACACAGGUUGGUGGUUUGCCGUGUGAACCGUACUAACUACUUUUAGGGGUCGGCCGGCCAGGCCGUUAAAUGGCGAAUCGGACGUGACGCCCGGGCCGUCCGCCUUUAGGGUUAGGUCUAGGUCUCUUGUAGGUCUAGGUCUAGGUCUUAAGGUUAGGUCUAGGUCUAGGUCGCGGCCGCCUCGCCAGCCCCGCCUGCGUUUUUUUCUCAACGUACGCGUCUGAUAAAGUGUCUUCUUCCGUCUGCCAGACGGAGGAGGAAAGAGAAAGCAAAAAGCGAGAGAGACAACUUUUGACGGUGGAUCUCUUGGCUCACGCAUCGAUGAAGAACGCAGCCAGCUGCGAUAAGUAGUGUGAAUUGCAGAAUUCAGUGAAUCAUCGAAUCUUUGAACGCAAAUGGCGCUCUUGGGUUCUCCCAGGAGCAUGUCUGUCUGAGUGUCGGAUAUCAUCCAUCGCAGGCAAAAGCUUGCGGCGUUGAGGCGUCACGGCCGCCGGGAGUCGGUCGGCCGUGUCCCUUGAAAGGCAGAGAGACUCGCUGCGGCGGUUUUCCGUGGGUUACGUUACGUUUCCCGCGGCGCAUCAGCGGAGGCCAAAAGCGUCGGCAGUCCUCCGCGGGAUGUAUGCCGCCUGGAUGCCGCCGCCGUCAGAGUCGCACGGGCGAAAGGUGUGUGUGUGUCAAGCACAUCUCUCUCUUUCUCUUGACCUCAGAUCA